GUUCAUCUGUCUAGCGUUUCUGAUCUUGGUAUCCUGCACAAGUAGCUUUCUCUCUCACAUCACUUACAGUUUCUUGAAACUGCCUGGGAAUUUUAUGCAUUCAUCCCAUGGAGGAUGCCUUGAACUUGCAAGGGGUCCCCGUAUCAUGGGCUACAAGGCCUGCCCUGGCUCCUGGACCAUCUCUUCCCUUUUACACUCCAUCCUCCUUUGUACCAGCUGGGGCUGCUGAUUAGGCCAUUCAGAGCAUUCCAGAACAUUCCAGAACACCCCAGGAGACAGCUGGGUGUGAGACCUGGGGCUGUGUGAGGAAGAGCCUCUUUCGAGAUGGAAUGUGCUCCUCAGCUCUUCCUGGCUGCCUACCCGGCCGUGGGCUCAUGGUGGACCUGUGUCCUGACCAACCCAUCCUGAGCUGGAGCUAUCCUAACGCAGAUGUGCGUUCCACACAGCUCACCUACCAAGCACCAUAGCUUAGCGCAGUCGACCUUCACCAUGCUCAGAACACUGACAUCAGCCUUUGCGUGGGCAGCCAUCCAACUUUAGUGAGUACUCAUGAGGCCAUGGACUUUGAGUAUUUGACAGAAAGUCAUAGAACGAACAGUGUGGACACCACCGAGCCACUCCAGGACCCCGUGUGGCUUAGAAGACCCAGCGGCAUGAAGACCGGCACGGGCACAGCCGAGGGAGUGGCCGAGGCCUCCAGGGGGUGCCUGGGCUGUCCUGACCCCUGGCCUGGCCGGGACUCUGUGUGGGGCCACUGCAUCUGCCAGCCAGUAACUGACUCCACCCCGUGUGGGGGAGCCAUGGGGCCUCCCCGUGCCCUCCACUCACACCUGGGGCCCACACCGCAUCCCUAUCCCAACCCUUGGGCUCACACGUGGGUGCCCUGGGGUGGUGGUAUCUGGACAUGGCAUCCAGAGCUGUCCGCCUCGGCGCCUGUAGAUUGGUGUAGGCCCAGCUGUAGCUUCAACGCCUGCACAGGCGGCCGGCAGCCAACUGCCCUGCAGCCCAGCAUACUUCCUCAUUACUGGGGACCCCCAUUCUCCCUAACCUCCACAGCUCUGGGCAGGGACACCAACUCCUGCUCCCCGGUGAGGGUCCAGGACCCAACCAGCUCAGCGCCCUGGGCUGCAGUGGGGGGCCCAACCCGAAGAGCUCCAAACUGCAGGUGGCACAGAAGCUCUCCCUUGGGCCGGGCCUCCAGUUUGAGGUCUCCGGGGCUCCUGCUGUCCUCCAGCUCUCAACUGUGCCCUUUGCUCUUGGCCCCUAUGAUAGAUCCUGAGCCUGAGCCCCAGCCCCCCAUCUUGGACCCUGAGUCCCAGCCCCCCAUCCUAGACCCUGAGCCCCAGCCCCCCAUCCUGGACCCUGAACCCUAGUCCCCCAUCCUAGACCCUGGGCCCCAGCCCCUCAGCCCCAGGAGGCCUUUCUGUAGGGCCUGUCGCUGCCUCUUCCAGCCCUAGACAGUGCCCUGCACCCACCCCAGCCCAGGCACCAGCUCAUGGCGCCCAGCUCGCCAGGCUCUGCCUGGGGUCUCGAGUCUGGACUUGUGUACAGAGGCUCAGGUGUGAGCUGUUCACUGCUGUGCAGCCCAUACCCAGCCCUCUCUCCCAUAUUUCCCUCCACCUUAUUUCCUUGUGCCCUUCAGCCCCCAUGGGCACCCUUCUCUGCAGAACUUGCCCUGGCCAGCAUGCUAGUGCCCUCAGAUACACCACAGCUAACACAGCCAAGUGAAUUGUUUGUGCUUAGAUUUGUAAGUUACAUAAGUGAUGGGCUGUGGAAAUGGUUCCUUUGCUGUCUAUUGGUCAAUAAAUGUUAAGGCUAAUAAAUGUUUAUAGUGGUGUGGUUGGUCUUGCUGUUUCUCUACCCUCCUGGGCACCCACUAUCUGCCAGCCCCUGUUCUGCCUCUGUCCCUGCUCAGAGAAGACCUCAGGUGCAGCCCAGCCACCC
ensembl:lincRNA